rnacentral:lncRNA from 10 species
AAGCAGCAACUUCGAAAGGCGAUGUUGGAAAAAGACGGAAAUUUGCCUAGUGGGAUUGGGCCUGGUGGUCUUCUUCUUCAGUUUUCUACUUUCAAUAUUUCGUUCCAAGUACCACGGCUAUCCUUAUAGGAUCUGGACUUUGAGUGAGAAGAUGUGAUUUGGACCAUGGCACUUAAAAACUCUAUAACCUCAGUUUUUAAUUAAAUGAAGCCAAGUGGGAUUUGCAUAAAGUGAAUGUUUACCAUGAAGAUAAACUGUUCCUGACUUUAUACUAUUUUGAAUUCAUUCAUUUCAUUGUGAUCAGCUAGCUUAUUCUUGUGUACUUUUUUUAAACUGUGGGUUUUCCUAGUAAAUUUAAUUUACAGAAAUCAAUGGUAGCAUUUAGUAAUCUACAAAGGAAAUAUCAAAGUGUUUUUCAAGCCUGUUAUAUUCAGUGUGUGCCACAGGAU